GGGGCAGCGGGGUAGUGCUUGCACUACUGCCGGCGACCGGCGCACGGGUGAGUAACACGUAUGGAACCUGCCCGCAGCAGGGGGAUAAGCGGAAGAAAUUCCGUCUAAUACCGCGUAACAACGUUGGGAGGCAUCUCCCGAUGUUUAAAGAUUUAUCGGCUGCGGAUGGCCAUGCGGCGCAUUAGCUAGUCGGCGGGGUAACGGCCCACCGAGGCGACGAUGCGUAGGGGUUCUGAGAGGAAGGUCCCCCACACUGGUACUGAGACACGGACCAGACUCCUACGGGAGGCAGCAGUGAGGAAUAUUGGUCAAUGGCCGAGAGGCUGAACCAGCCAAGUCGCGUGAGGGAAGACGGCCCUACGGGUUGUAAACCUCUUUUGUCGGGGAGCAAAGAGAGCCACGUGUGGCUCAUUGAGAGUACCCGAAGAAAAAGCAUCGGCUAACUCCGUGCCAGCAGCCGCGGUAAUACGGAGGAUGCGAGCGUUAUCCGGAUUUAUUGGGUUUAAAGGGUGCGCAGGCGGAGGUGCAAGUCAGCGGUCAAAUUGCGGGGCUCAACCCCGUACUGCCGUUGAAACUGCAUCCCUUGAGUGCGCGAGAAGUAUGCGGAAUGCGUGGUGUAGCGGUGAAAUGCAUAGAUAUCACGCAGAACUCCGAUUGCGAAGGCAGCAUACCGGCGCGCAACUGACGCUCAUGCACGAAAGCGUGGGU
rnacentral:rRNA from 1 species